AAAUAUAUAAAAAGAUAAAAAUAAAAAAAUUGUCCAGUAGCACCUUAGAGACCAACUAAGUUUGUUCUUGUUAUGAGCUUUCGUGUGCAUGCCCACUUCUUCAGAUACACUGUUUCAUACCAAGAAAGCUCAUUCCAAGAACAAACUUAGUUGGUCUCUAAGGUGCUACUGGACAAUUUUUAUUUUUUUAUCUUUUUAUAUAUUU